AAUCCGUCGACUUUCGAAAUCGUGAGGGUUCAAGUCCCU
rnacentral:tRNA from 1 species